CUUACUUUAUAGAAAGAGCAAGUGGAAGUGGAACAAUACAGAGAAGAUUAGCAUGAGCCCUGCACAAGGAUGACGUGCAAAGUCAUGAAGCAUGCCAUAUUUUU